ACAUGUCUUUAAGAUAAUAAUUUAAAGUCUAAUCUGCUCAAUGAUUUUAAAAUUAAAUAGCUGCAGUAAUUUAACUGUACAAAGGUAGCAUAAUCAUUAGUUUUUUAAUUAAAAGCUGGAAUGAAUGAUUUGAUGAGGUAAUUAUUGUCUCAAAUUUAAUAAAGGUAUAAUUUUUUUAUUAGUAAAAAUACUAAUUUGUAUUUAAAAGACGAGAAGACCCUAUAGAUUUUUAUAAUUUUAUAUUAAUAUAGUUUAAUAAAAUUUAAAUAUAAAAUAUAUAAUUAUUUGAUUGGGGUAAUUAUUAAAUUUAAAAAAUUUUAAUUUAUUUAGAACAAUAAUUAUUGGUUGGAUGAACUUAAUAAUUUAAAUUAAAAGAAUAAAUUACCUUAGGGAUAACAGCGUAAUUUUUUUGGAGAGUUCUUAUUGAUAAAAAAGUUUGCGACCUCGAUGUUGAAUUAAGAUUAAAUUUUAAUGAAGAAGUUAAAAAAUUUUGGUCUGUUCGACCAUUAAAAUCUUACGUG
rnacentral:rRNA from 1 species